rnacentral:rRNA from 1 species
CCUACGGGGGGCAGCAGUGAGGAAUAUUGGUCAAUGGACGCAAGUCUGAACCAGCCAUGCCGCGUGCAGGAAGACGGCUCUAUGAGUUGUAAACUGCUUUUGUACGAGGGUAAAGGCAGAUACGCGUACCUGUCUGAAAGUAUCGUACGAAUAAGGAUCGGCUAACUCCGUGCCAGCAGCCGCGGUAAUACGGAGGAUUCAAGCGUUAUCCGGAUUUAUUGGGUUUAAAGGGAGCGUAGGCGGUCGGAUAAGUUAGGGGUGAAAUCCCGUGGCUCAACUUCGGAAUUGCCACUGAUACUGGUAGGCUAGAGAGUAGUUGCGGUAGGCGGAAUGUAUGGUGUAGCGGUGAAAUGCUUAGAGAUCAUACAGAACACCGAUUGCGAAGGCAGCUUACCAAGCUACUUCUGACGUUGAGGCACGAAAGCGUGGGGAGCAAACAGGAUUAGAUACCCUUGUAGUC